rnacentral:tRNA from 1 species
GCGGUCGUGGCGGAACUGGCAGACGCGUACGUUUGAGGGGCGUAUGGUAAUCCCGUAUGGGUUCAAGUCCCAUCGACCGCACCA